GAAAGCCCAGUGCGGGAAAUCCGCACGCUGGGUUUGUUGAGGCGGGGGCUGGAAACCAGCUCGCUCGAGUAUGGCGCCAGUCCUCGACCCUAC
rfam:Acidobacteria bacterium 13_2_20CM_56_17 13_2_20cm_scaffold_125715, whole genome shotgun sequence.